AGCAUUUUACAGUUGUUAUCACUCUGGUGCAAUGACAUCCUUGCCCACCUAAGCUGCUGAGCUGAAGAGGCCAGGCUGAUGGAAACACAGCGUCUCAGAUGGGCAGGCAGGAAUGGCAUGACCCUGGGGUACUGUACUUGGCUUUUCCUAUCACCCCAACACCCCAAGGUUCAUGCAUCAAGAGGUUAGAGAGAAGCAGCAUACGCCAGCUUGUCAGGACACAGCUCACCUGAAGUGCCUUCCGCACUCCCCUGGGGGUGCAGCAGGCUCACUGAAUCUGGAAUCCUACUGCACUUCAACGUUAGUUGUGCUGCGUGGGGUAAACAAAUCAUAGAGCAGCAAGAAGGCUCAGCUGACAAAGGGUAUUUUAUCACAGCAAUUCGAAUGGAACUAGAACAGGCAACAUCUCUAGAGCAAUACCUCCUCGCCCAGAUCAAUAAGGACUUCUCCCAGAGUGCCUGGUACACAGCUCCAAAAGGGAAAGCGGCCCUGAUGAACUCCACCCCUGGCUUUGUACUAGCUCAUGCUAUCUGUUCCUUUUCCUGCCAGUAAUCUAGCCUUCCUAACAGCAGCUCUGGGUUAUUCUUUGGAGAACUACCUUCUCCAUUACUUUCCUAGAUCCCUGUUGUUUGGGUAGAAUUGACCAUACUACCUCCAGUUCAGAAGGCAGAUCAUAAGAUCAAAGCUUGACUUAAAAAUGCCUUUCAUUUUUUUCUGCCACCAGAGGUUUACGGAUGAACAUGUAGCCCAAACCAGACUUUGAAGAUUAGCCUUGGGAAUUACACUGCACUGACUGGAAAAAAAUAAAAAACCUUCUCUCGGCAGAUUUUUCUGGAAGGUUUCUCUUUUUCCUCUUUCUUUGAAAUAAAAUAUAUUUUUGAGGGCUGUAGAGAUGGCUCAGCUCUUCAGAGUAUUAGCUGCUCUUCCAGAGGCCUCUGCUUCCAGUCUCAGCUCCCUCACAGAAGCUCACAACUGCCCCUGGACCUGAUGCCCCCUUCUGGUUUCCACAGGCAUCAGGCACUCGAGUGGCUCACUGGCAUAUACGCAGGCCAAAUACUCAUAUGCAUAAUAAAAUUAAAUAGAUACACUUGCAA